rnacentral:rRNA from 1 species
AGCAGUCGCCACGGUAAUACGUAGGGGGCAAGCGUUGUCCGGAAUUAUUGGGCGUAAAGCGCGCGCGGGCGGUUUUUUAAGUCUGGUGUCUAAGUGCGGGGCUCAACCCCGUGACGCACUGGUAACUGGGAGACUUGAGUGCAGAAGAGGAGAGCGGAAUUCCACGUGUAGCGGUGAAAUGCGUAGAGAUGUGGAGGAACACCAGUGGCGAAGGCGGCUCUCUGGACUGUAACUGACGCUGAGGCGCGAAAGCGUGGGGAGCAAACAGGAUUAGAUACCCCCGUAGUCCCUGUCUCUUAUACA